AGUUGUUUUUUGUUUGUUUGUUUUUAAAGAAAACUAGCAAUUUUACAAUCUGGCCCCGACCCGUCUUUUUACCUUCCUCACCUGCUCUUAAGCUACUUAUUUAUAUGCCUCCACUUGUGCUCUUCCUCUCCCCCUCCAGACAUUUUUUUUUUUAAUUGAAUGAAAUCCUACUCUUUUCUAAAAGACCAGCUCAAAUGUCCCCUUUUCUGGGAAUACCAACCUCCUUGCAGGCAGAAUUAGUUUCUCCCGCUGCUCUAUUUCCUUAGUGAUUUCAUAAUGCCAUGAAGGCUUAAGUUUCACCGUGUUUCCUUGUCAGAAUGACUCUCCCUAGACCAUGCCUUUUCAUCUUCCUAUUACUACUUAAAGAAGCGUAUUUUGAAUUGGAUUUAAGGCAACGGUGAGUGCCAGAUGUCUAGUAACCAGUCCUGCAGGAGUUCAGAGAAAGGUGCAAAUACUGGUGAGGUUGGGGAAGGUCCUGGGAGGAGCGUGGACCCGAGCCUAAUUUUACCAGGACGGGUUAGUUUAUGUAGGUAAGUUUCCUGCCUUUCCUCCGCAGAGCAUAGAAUGAAUUACUUCAUCCUUCUUGAGCUCAUUCCCAGCAUGUGAAAGGGAUAAAAUUAGAAGUGUUUUUGUUUGUCCUUUCUCUUAGGAUUUGCUGGUAAUGUUAUCUGUUGGCUCUUGGAGCAUUUCCAGAGCCAAAUAGGAUUUAGAACAGAGAGGAGAUGGGUGUCUGGAGUGAGAUGCUGGAAGGUAAAGGGGAACUGUUUUAAAGCCACGUGGACUCUUCAGGACGUGAGGGUGAUCUGGCUGCAAAGUCUGUCACCCCACUGAUCGCCAGGGUUGAUUUGGCUGAUCUGGCUGGUUAGGCAGGUGUCCCCUUCCCCCCUCACCACUCCAUCUGCCUUUCUCCCAAAGCUGUGUUCUUGGUCGAAGAGGGCCUUCCCUGCUGGAGGCGAGGACUAACUGUUCUUGGGUCAAGGGUAUAACCAGUAGCUGCACUCUCCUGCUAGAAUCUCCAGACCAGCUCUCAGGGUCCAUUUGUAGAGCAUAGGGUAGUCAAGCUUCCAAGACUCCAGACACAUUCAAAUGAGGUGCUGCAUGUGGCAACCUGCCAUUCAAGAAAAGGAAAGAGGAAGGAAGGAAGGAAGGAAGGAAGGAAGGAAGGAAGGAAGGAAGGAAGGAAGGAAGGAAGGAAGGAAGGAAGGAAAAGAGUCUUCGUAUGAAUAAUACAGGCCUGAAAAUGUAAAUUCCAGUAACUUCAUUCUAUUUAAUGGUGGUAUCUAAAAUUUCAGGAAAGUGAAUAAACUUAAUUGAGAAUGUCUGAAAAUCUUGAAAAGUCCAAUAUAAAUGAAGCAGGAAAAUCAAAAUCAAAUGAUUCUGAACAAGGCCUUGAAGAUGCCAUGGAAGGUUCUGAUGAAGCUUUACAGAAAAAAAAGUCAGGCUCUCCUAGCACCCAAAGAGUGCAAAGACCUCACUCCAGUCCUCCUCGCUUUGUGACAGUAGAAGAGCUUCUAGAGACAGCAAAAGGAGUCACUAACAUGGCUCUAGCCCAUGAAAUUGUAGUCAAUGGAGACUUCCAGAUUAAACCUGUUGAAUUACCAGAAGACAGUUUGGAGAAGAAAGUGAAGGAGAUUGUACAUAAAGCUUUCUGGGAUUGCUUGAGUGUCCAGCUAAGUGAGGACCCCCCAACCUAUGACCAUGCCAUUAAACUUCUCGGGGAGAUCAAAGAGACUCUCUUAUCUUUCUUGCUGCCUGGUCACACUAGACUGAGAAACCAGAUUACGGAAGUCUUGGAUCUGGAUCUCAUAAAGCAGGAGGCAGAGAAUGGGGCCCUUGACAUUUCCAAGCUAGUUGAAUUCAUUAUUGGCAUGAUGGGGACACUGUGUGCACCUGCUCGAGAUGAGGAAGUUAAGAAGCUAAAGGACAUUAAGGAAAUAGUGCCCCUUUUCAGGGCAAUUUUUUCUGUGUUGGACCUGAUGAAAGUGGACAUGGCGAACUUUGCUGUCAGUAGCAUCAGGCCACAUCUCAUGCAGCAGUCAGUUGAAUAUGAAAGGAAGAAGUUUCAAGAGCUUUUGGAGAAGCAGCCAAAUUCCCUGGACUUUGUCACCCAGUGGUUGGGAGAAGCCGCAGAUGACCUUAUGCAUCAGACGUAUAAAAAUGCCCUGCCAGCUGUGGGAGGGGCCGCCGGAUCGGGGGGCAGUCCCACGCCUAGUCCCGUUGCUGUCCAGAAUCACGCGUACCUGAAGCUUCUGAAGUGGGACCACCUCCAGCAACCUUUCCCCGAGACAGUGCUGAUGGACCAGGCUCGCUUCCAAGAGCUCCAGCUCCAGCUGGAACACCUCACCGUCCUGGGGGCGGUGCUGCUGGUCACGUUCAGCAUGGCUGCCUCAGGUGUUUCCAACCAGGCCACCUUCGCUGAGAAACUCAAGAUGAUCGUGAAGAUCCUGCUCACAGAUAUGCAUCUGCCCUCCUUCCAUCUGAAGGAUGCCCUGACAACCAUUGGUGAGAAAGUCUGCUUGGAGGUGAGCAGCUGCCUUUCCCUGUGUGGGUUCACCCCCUUUACCACGGACAAGGAGAUCGUGCUCAAGGGCCAGAUCCAGGCGGUGGCCAGUCCUGACAACCCCAUCCGCAGGAUCAUGGUAAAAGAAUAUUUUUUUUACUUUUUUCAUAUUUAUGAAAAAAGAGGUACGUGGAUCAGUGGUUUUGAAAAAAAUAUUUUGUCCCAGUCCUGCAAUGGUCACAAUUUCACCUGUGCGUCACUCCGGAGCAGCCUCUUGAAGAUAUUGCCGUGCCCUCUGACCAUCAAGAUUAAUAUUAUUGAGAAGCAGGAAAGUGCCUGUAAAUAGAGCUGUCCUUGUCCUGCCAUCCUGGUUGUUUAGUAACAGCCAGUUAUAGACAUGGAGAUAGAAACCUGCCCUCACAAAGGAAUGACACAAGGAUCUCCACUUCUGGAUUCCCGAAUCCUGACCUUCUUAGAAACCUACCUUGCCUCAGGCCAUGAGAAGGCAUUGCCCACAAUACCUGGGGGAUUGGGUCCAGUCCACAAAGAGCUGGAGGAAGUUGCUAUUAAAUUUGUUCGUCUGGUCAACUA